rnacentral:rRNA from 1 species
UACAGAGGUCUCAAGCGUUGUUCGGAUUCAUUGGGCGUAAAGGGUGCGUAGGCGGCGCGGUAAGUCGGGUGUGAAAUCUUGGAGCUUAACUCCGAAACUGCAUUCGAUACUGCCGUGCUUGAGGACUGGAGAGGAGACUGGAAUUUACGGUGUAGUGGUGGAAUGCGUAGAUAUCGGGAGGAACACCAGUGGCGAAGGCGGUUGCCUGGAGCUUUGCUGACGCUGAGGCGCGAAAGCGUGGGGAGCGAUCCGG